rnacentral:SRP_RNA from 1 species
GGGCAGGCUCGGCGCGGCGGAAGAUUCUAAACCCCGCCAGGUCCGAAAGGAAGCAACGGUACGGAAAUCUCUCUGGGUGCCGCCGAUUCCCUGCUCAGG